CCUACGGGGGACAGCAGUGGGGAAUAUUGGACAAUGGGGGGAACCCUGAUCCAGCCAUGCCGCGUGUGUGAAGAAGGCCCUCGGGUUGUAAAGCACUUUCAGUGAGGAAGAACGCCUGGUGGUUAAUACCCAUCAGGAAAGACAUCACUCACAGAAGAAGCACCGGCUAACUCCGUGCCAGCAGCCGCGGUAAUACGGAGGGUGCGAGCGUUAAUCGGAAUUACUGGGCGUAAAGCGCGCGUAGGUGGCUUGAUAAGCCGGUUGUGAAAGCCCCGGGCUCAACCUGGGAACGGCAUCCGGAACUGUCAAGCUAGAGUGCAGGAGAGGAAGGUAGAAUUCCCGGUGUAGCGGUGAAAUGCGUAGAGAUCGGGAGGAAUACCAGUGGCGAAGGCGGCCUGCUGGACUGACACUGACACUGAGGUGCGAAAGCGUGGGUAGCAAACAGGAUUAGAUACCCUAGUAGUC
rnacentral:rRNA from 1 species